AUACUAAAAUGGGGAAUCUCUGAAACCCGGAAUACUAAAAUGGGGAACCCCCACCACGGGGAAAGGUGGGGUUACCAUGGGGAUUAGCAGGGGAUUAUAUUAAUUUUUUGGCCCAUGACCUUGGGGCAUUUGAAGCGUUUUGCAUGUCAUUUGCCCCCGGGGGUAGGGGAAUUUGAACGGAUUUUUUUUCGUCUGCAAUGCAUAUGGUCAGCGGUUAUACACAACAAAACCAAAUCGAGGCAACACCUGGCAACACAUGGAAAAGACGAAACGGUUAUUCUG